UACAGAGGGGGCAAGCGUUGUUCGGAAUUACUGGGCGUAAAGGGCUCGUAGGCGGCCAACUAAGUCGGACGUGAAAUCCCCAGGCUCAACCUGGGAACUGCGUCCGAUACUGGAUGGCUUGAAUCCGGGAGAGGGUUGCAGAAUUCCAGGUGUAGCGGUGAAAUGCGUAGAUAUCUGGAGGAAUACCGGCGGCGAAGGCGGCAUCCUGGACCGGCAUUGACGCUGAGGAGCGAAAGCCAGGGGAGCAAACGGG
rnacentral:rRNA from 1 species